UACAGAGGGUGCAAGCGUUAAUCGGAAUUACUGGGCGUAAAGCGUGCGUAGACGGUUAUUUAAGUCAGGUGUGAAAGCCCCGGGCUCAACCUGGGAAUUGCAUUUGAGACUAGAAUAAGCUAGGGUGCGGAAGAGGGAAGGCGGAAUUUCCGGUGUAGCGGUGAAAUGCGUAGAUAUCGGAAGGAACACCAGUGGCGAAAGCGGCUUCCUGGUCCAGCACCGACGUCAGGCACGAAAGCGUGGGGAGCAAACAGG
rnacentral:rRNA from 1 species